GAGUUUGAUCGUGGCUCAGGAUGAACGCUGGCGGCGUGCCUAACACAUGCAAGUCGAACGAAGCAAUCGGGAUGAAGUUUUCGGAUCGGAUUCCUGGUUGACUGAGUGGCGGACGGGUGAGUAACGCGUGGAUAACCUGCCUCACACUGGGGGAUAACAGUUAGAAAUGGCUGCCAAUACCGCAUAAGCGCACAGUACCGCAUGGUACGGUGUGAAAAACCCAGGUGGUGUGAGAUGGAUCCGCGUCUGAUUAGCCAGUUGGCGGGUAACGGCCCACCAAAGCGACGAUCAGUAGCCGACCUGAGAGGGUGACCGGCCACAUUGGGACUGAGACACGGCCCAAACUCCUACGGGAGGCAGCAGUGGGGAAUAUUGCACAAUGGGCGAAAGCCUGAUGCAGCGACGCCGCGUGAGUGAAGAAGUAUCUCGGUAUGUAAAGCUCUAUCAGCAGGGAAGAAAUGACGGUACCUGAC
rnacentral:rRNA from 1 species